AUACGAAAGGUGCAAGCGUUGUUCGGAUUUACUGGGCGUAAAGAGAGUGUAGGUUGUUUAUUAAGUCGGAUGUGAAAUCCCGGGGCUCAACCUCGGAACUGCAUUCGAUACUGGUAGACUAGAGUUCGGGAGGGGUAAGCGGAAUUCCGUGUGUAGAAGUGAAAUGCGUAGAUAUACGGAGGAACACCUGAGGCGAAGGCGGCUUACUGGACCGAUACUGACACUGAGACUCGAAAGCGUGGGUAGCAAACAGGAGUAGAAACCCUAGUAGUCC
rnacentral:rRNA from 1 species